AAAAGAUCACAAUGCAACUCCUCAGCUUUCAUUUGUUUCUUCAUAUAUAUCUAUUUACGACAAUGUGCCUACUUUUAGUUACAGCAAGACUUGCCUGCGGCUCUGACGGGUAUUGUGUGAAUAAGGAUGGGUUUUGUAAAUAUGUAAAGGUUCCGUCAGCCGACUGCAGAGGCUCGACCUCAACUAUCUGUUGCCAACGAAGACCUGUUGGUUAAGUGUGCCGCAUUAAAUAUGUAACCAUAUUUAAAAUCCAAAAUUGUGUUAAGCCUAAAGCAUACUAGCAAUAAUUGAAUAUACUAUUAUGAAUAUUAUUGGUUAAGCUAUAUUAUAUCUGAUGCUUAUGAAUUCGCAUAGUUAAAAGCAAAUAUGCAAUAUUUUUGGAUGAGGUUCCAAAUAGUACAAUUGAAAUCAGUGGCAAAUGAUUUAAAUUUACGUUACGAUGCUGUACGUGGCGAAUGUAAUUAAGAUAAGAGUUUUAAAAACCCGAGUGACCUCUCGGGAGUGGUUCUUCCUUGGGGUCAACCUGAAAGUACCUUCAUCUAUCCAUUACAUGAGAAACCUCUCGAACACAAAAAAUUCUUGAAAGCCAUCAAGCCAAGCCGUGACAGACGAAAAACAAGUGAUCAGCAUAACGGCGACCCACGACGAGGCAGCCAAGUGUAAGGGCGAGAUGCAGAGACCGAGUGCCAGACAAUGCACCAUCAGACACGCAACCCCGAGCUCAGCUCAGUUUGGGGCAGCUCAUUACCUAGCCGCUUCAGUUGUGCCCAGCCCCAAAUGUUGCAGCAGCAGGCACUUCAGUGUAAAUCAUUACAAUAAUUCAAAUAAAGCGCCGCCAGGACGCGAUGAAGGA